rnacentral:rRNA from 1 species
UCGAGAGGCUUCGGCAAUGGGGGAAACCCUGACCGAGCGACGCCGCGUGGGCGAUGAAGGCCGUUAGGUUGUAAAGCCCUGUCGAGCGGGAAGAAACGCGUGAGGGUAAACAAUCCUCACGUCUGACGGUACCGCUAAAGGAAGCUCCGGCCAACUCCGUG